GAGCAAAGGCGUCUAAUUAAUGGCGCAAAUUGCAUUGAAGGUUGGCAAUAACUAACCAUGAAGCGACUCUCCGUGCCUUCCAAAUCUCUUAAUUUUGAGUUUGGCCUCGAACAAGUCGCUAUAUU